AAUUUUCCCCCGUUACUCGAACCUCCUAGCAAUCUCUCUCUUUCUCUCUCUCUCUUUCGCGAAUACUUGUUCACCAUCGUUAAAACGGUCUAUCAAAUCUUAAAUCUUCCAAGAAUUUCUACCAAUAAGAAGUGAAAUUUCCGUAACGAUUCUAAGGGUUUGUAACUGUGGUACGUAAGGUCUAAAAAUGUAACACAGUUUGUCCUACAGUUGCCGUUCUAAAAUAGGCCGAUUCUUAGGUAGAGGAACAUUUUCCUGAGAAAGAUAGGAAAAUAAAACAAUAUUAUCGGCCAGGAACUAGUAAUCCAACUAAUAGAAGCAGAAGCGUAUUUAUUUCAUUCAUUUAAUCUGACGUGACUUAGUCGUUGUUAACUAUGUAUGUGUAUAAAUCAUUCAUUUUCUUAGUUACAAAU